rnacentral:rRNA from 1 species
GACGAACGCUGGCGGCGUGCUUAACACAUGCAAGUCGAACGGUGAAGCGCCUUCCUUUUUGGUGGGUGGUUAUGAGUGGCGAACGGGGGAGUAACACGUUAACAAACUGCCACCUUCUGCUGGAUAACCGCAUGAAAGUGUGGCUAAUACGGGAUAUUCUGGAUCUGUCGCAUGAUGAGUCUGGGAAAGAUUUUGUUUCGGUUGUGGAUGGGCUCGCGGCCUAUCAGCUUGUUGGGGGGGUGAUGGCCUACCAAGGCGGCGACGGGUAGCCGGCCUGAGAGGGUGGGCGGUCCCGGUGGGACUGAGACACCCACCCGCCUCCGACGGGAGGCAGUAGGGAGUAUUAUGGCACAGUGGGAGGACUGCUGGUGCAGCGACGCCGGGGGAGUGAUGGUGGCCUUCGGGUUGUGAACUUCUUUCGCGAGUGAAGCAGGCCUGCCUCGUCUGUGGGUGGGUUGACGGUAGCUGGAUAAGAAGCGCCGGCUAACUACGUG